UCUUAUGGAUGAGUAAAGAAAGUACUUUCUUAACAUAGAAUCUACUCUUGAUAAAGGUGCUGUGAA
rnacentral:pre_miRNA from 1 species